rnacentral:rRNA from 1 species
GAGUUUGAUCUUGGCUCAGAACGAACGCUGGCGGCAUGCCUAACACAUGCAAGUCGAACGAGACCUUCGGGUCUAGUGGCGCACGGGUGCGUAACGCGUGGGAAUCUGCCCUUGGGUUCGGAAUAACAGUUGGAAACGACUGCUAAUACCGGAUGAUGUCUUCGGACCAAAGAUUUAUCGCCCAGGGAUGAGCCCGCGUAGGAUUAGCUUGUUGGUGAGGUAAAGGCUCACCAAGGCGACGAUCCUUAGCUGGUCUGAGAGGAUGAUCAGCCACACUGGGACUGAGACACGGCCCAGACUCCUACGGGAGGCAGCAGUGGGGAAUAUUGGACAAUGGGCGAAAGCCUGAUCCAGCAAUGCCGCGUGAGUGAUGAAGGCCUUAGGGUUGUAAAGCUCUUUUACCCGGGAUGAUAAUGACAGUACCGGGAGAAUAAGCCCCGGCUAACUCCGUGCCAGCCGCCGCAGUAAU